GAGUUUUAGGGUUUUAGCCUUGUGUGAGCUUGUGUAUUGUGAGCCAUUCAUUCAUCUUAUUGAUGUAUGAAUUGGAUUGACUUUUGUGUUGUAACUUGUCCAUUCUAAGCUUUGAAGAACGAGUGUUUGUUUACUUGGUUGAAGCUUUUAAGCAAGAUCAAGUAUGUGUCCUUGAAGUGUGUCUUCUUUCUUUUGUAUUUGUUUUUAUAUCACUGUUGUGAUUGAGGGGGGUGAGUAGGGUCUCAUAUCUAAGAGUU
rnacentral:lncRNA from 1 species